rnacentral:rRNA from 1 species
UUGACCUCGGAUCAGGUAGGGAUACCCGCUGAACUAAGCAUAUCAUAG